UCGAGGAUCUUUAGCAAUGCCCGAAAGGGUGACUAUGCGACGCCGCGUGCAGGAUGAAGGCCUUCGGGUUGUAAACUGCUGUCAGGGGGGAAGAAACCUUACGUAUGAAUAGUACGUAAGCUGACAUCACCCCCAAAGGAAGCCACGGCUAACUCUGUGCCAGCAGCCGCGGUAAGACAGAGGUGGCAAGCGUUGUUCGGAUUCAUUGGGUGUAAAGGGCAGGUAGGCGGUCGGGCAAGUCUGACGUGAAAUCCCAUGGCUCAACCGUGGAACUGCGUUGGAAACUGCCUGACUUGAGUAUCGGAGAGGUGAAGGGAAUUCUCGGUGUAAGGGUGAAAUCUGUAGAUAUCGAGAGGAACACCAGUGGCGAAGGCGCUUCACUGGCCGAUUACUGACGCUGAGGUACGAAAGCGUGGGUAGCAAACAGGAUUAGAUACCCCCGUAGUCCCUGAGCGGGCUGGCAAGGCGCAU
rnacentral:rRNA from 1 species